UACGUAGGGUGCAAGCGUUAAUCGGAAUUACUGGGCGUAAAGCGUGCGGCAGGCGGCUUUGCAAGACAGAUGUGAAAUCCCCGGGCUCAACCUCGAGACGUCGGUUGAAACCACCUGGCUAGAGUCCGGAAGAGGAGAGUGGAAUUCCCGGUGUAGCGGUGAAAUGCGCAGAUAUCGGGAGGAACACCAAUGGCGAAGGCAGCUCGCUGGAACGGUACUGACGCUGAGGCGCGAAAGCGUGGGGAGCAACAGGG
rnacentral:rRNA from 1 species